GAUCUCGUAGCUCAGCCGGUAGAGCAUAACACUUUUAAUGUUGGGGUCCUGGGUUCGAGUCCCAGCGGGAUCA
rnacentral:tRNA from 1 species